UUGAUAAUUUUGAGGUAUACUUCCAUUUUAAUUAUAUUUUGUAAAGUUUGUGAAGUUUUUGAAAUUAUUUUAAUUUGCAUCACUUAGAUGGGAUAUACUGUCAUGUUCUGCAUUUGUAGGCUAGAUAUGAUUAGAAAUGAGUUAAGAAACCAUUGAUCUCGAUCAGGGGUCACCAAACUACGGCUCGCAGGCUGGAUUUGGCCCGGGAGGUCAGUUCAUCCAGCCCACUGCCACACUGUACCACAAAUGAGCUAAAAGGAAAAUCAGUGAAAUAAACAAUGCAGUGGUUUUUUGCAACUUUGGAUAUCAGAACACUUUUUGUUGUAUUGUAUUGAACGAAAUGGUUAUGCGGACUGUGCUCAUCAUUCUCUCAGUUAUGUGGCCCAUUAUGAAAAAAGUUUGGUAACCCCUGAUCUAGAUUAAUAUAAGAGAAAACAAUGAAGUAAGAACUAAUUUUUUCUCUAAUAUUCAUCAUUUUUGAAAAUUUUUCAUAGUAAAUUGUUACAAAUUUUUAAUAUUUACUUCUUCCUCAAACAGAUCUCAGCAUCAGUUUUUUAUGAUAAAGAUCCUUUCAUACUGUACAGUGCUCUCAACUCUUUUUAUAUUAUAUAAUAAUAGUAUUGUGGAAGCCAAAAUAAAAUUGUAUGAAACAAUCAACAUGAAACGUAGAUUAAAUAGCAGAAUACAAUUAUUUUAAUUUGUUACCCAAAACCAAUAUCAUUGAUUAUUAAUUACUAAACUUGCCAUUCUUCAAACUAACAUAAUAACCAAUGUGUACAUUGAAAUUCUAGGAUAUUUUUUUGCUAUCAACAAUUGAAGAUCAGGACAAUGAU